rnacentral:rRNA from 1 species
GCCCAGACUCCUACGGGAGGCAGCAGUGGGGAAUAUUGCACAAUGGGGGAAACCCUGAUGCAGCAACGCCGCGUGGGUGAAGGAGCGUUUCGGCGCGUAAAGCCCUGUCAGCGGGGAAGAAGAAAGACGGUACCCGACCAAGAAGCCCCGGCUAACUACGUGCCAGCAGCCGCGGUAAUACGUAGGGGGCGAGCGUUAUCCGGAUUUAUUGGGUUUAAAGGGUGCGUAGGCGGGCUUUUAAGUCAGCGGUAAAAAUUCGGGGCUCAACCCCGUCCGGCCGUUGAAACUGGGGGCCUUGAGUGGGCGAGAAGAAGGCGGAAUGCGUGGUGUAGCGGUGAAAUGCAUAGAUAUCACGCAGAACUCCGAUUGCGAAGGCAGCAUACCGGCGCUCAACUGACGCUGAAGCACGAAGGCGUGGGUAUCGAACAGGAUUAGAUACCCGGGUA